rnacentral:lncRNA from 1 species
AUCAAGUAGGAUUUAUGUUUUUUAUGAAUCAGGAUCCUCGCCUGCGCCAUCCGCAGCGCUCGUGGCGGGCCCGGUGAGUCGCAGCUCGGAGCGCCAUCUACCGGCUGUUUUCUGCACGGCCGCCGGGAGGCUGCGCGCCGGCCCCAGGGUGGGGGAGAGGCCCAGGGAGCCAGGACGGCCCAGCGCGCUGGCCCUGAAAACAUCAGAGACAGGACAGAGCUCUCAGCCGCUGUGCUCACAGCUUCUUUGGUCUCGGUCACUGGGGGUCCGCCUGAAGUCGCAGGGAGAAGCCGGAGAGACUGGCUGCUGAGGCUGGAGGAGUUUUUCUUCUGCUGCAAAGCUGACACGUGUGGUGGUGGUGUUCCGCGCCUCCCGUUCUUCUUUAUAAAAGCCCAGACAUCCAAUUAAACUGCUGUGUCCCGGCGUAUCUGGGAAGCCAUUCCUGCAUGACUCAAAGCCUUUCUCUGCUCUCGCACAUUCCUGUUAGACGAGGACACUGGAUGUUUAGGCACAGUAGCUGCUGAUGCCAAAAAGUCCCCCAGGGAAAGACAAUGAUAAAUUUUGUCAUGUGUUAUGUUUUUAAAAAGUAUUUUACUUCCAGGGAAAUCUUUUCCCUUUAACAUUUCUGAAAAGGAGUUGAAUUCUGGUGUGGUGGGGGCAAUGGCAAGCCAUUGGUUUUCUUAGUGGCAGGUUUCCAUUUACGCUUAAUUUGAUUGUAGUUUAGCAAAUAAACAACCAUCAGACAAUGGCAGU